rnacentral:rRNA from 1 species
UACGUAGGGUGCAAGCGUUGUCCGGAAUUAUUGGGCGUAAAGAGCUCGUAGGCGGUUUGUCGCGUCGGCUGUGAAAUCCCGAGGCUCAACCUCGGGCCUGCAGUCGAUACGGGCAAACUAGAGUGUGGUAGGGGAGACUGGAAUUCCUGGUGUAGCGGUGAAAUGCGCAGAUAUCAGGAGGAACACCGGUGGCGAAGGCGGGUCUCUGGGCCGAUAUUGACGCUGAGGAGCGAAAGCGUGGGGAGCGAACAGG